AUUACAGUGAAACUGUUAAGGUAAAAUUACAUAACUCUUCCGCCUUCCCUGGAGGAGCUUCCAGGACUAUUGCCGAGAUGGUCAUAUAACCAAGACAGCUCAUUCCCAACCCAGUUCCUUCGCCCUGCCCUUGCACUUUGUCACCUAGGCCAAGUCACUUAGCGCGUCUGCGCCUCAGCUGCCCAUCUCUAAAAUUCAGGUUGUGUUGCUUCUUCUGUGAGUCUGUAGCUACUUAGACUGCAAAGCGUCUCAUCUCCUCCGGCGAGCCUGUGUCCUCCAAAAUGUAUCUGGUUUUCCAGGAGGUCUGAAGUGUGUUUCCUAACGUGUCUACUUGGGCUGAGAACUGGGAUUACACUUAACGCAUUUCAGACACCUGCCACCCCCUCCGGCAGUUUGUGUCGGGAGCCCGGGGCGCUCUGUAGCGCGGUGGAUCCCAGAGAGCGCAGAAAUACAGCGCCGAGUCAGCCCGCUGCGCCCCGUCUAUGGACAACGUGAGAGACUUCGCGCCGGUGUCCAGCUGGGAGGAGAACCGAGGGGCCACCGAACGGGAUUUGCGCUCCGAGCCACUGGAGUAUCUGCCCAGCAGGAACAGGACUUGCUUCCCCGGCCGCUCCUGGUACCAGUCCAGGGCGUAGCUGCUGUAGGAGGUGCUGUAUUGACACCUUAUCUUCACCCGCCGCCCUUCCGUGGCGGACAGGGAAGCCGGGAUCUGGGUCAGUGAGUUCCCCGCCACCGAACCUAAAAGGGAGAUAAUUCGGAGGGAGUCCCGGGGCGAGGAAAGUCCCCUAGAUAGACAGAGCCCGGCCCCCGCUCUUGGAGCUCACCUGGGAACAGCGGCAGCGCGCAGAGACACAGCCACAGAGAUCCCCGCAUGCCUGUCACCACUGGGGGGGAGCCAAGGAACCGCAGCCACCGAUUCGACUCCUGGGGGAAAUGAAGUACCCGGGAGGUGGCAGCACUUCUGUGUGAACGGGGGAGCCGGAACCGGGAUGGCGGUAAAGCUCACACACUCCAGUAACACGUGGGAAAAGCUGUGUGCAUUAGGAAGAGAGGCUGCUGCCCGGGCAGCUGCUGGUACCAUCCCAGGGCGUAGUACGGGUACGUGGUGCUGUAUUGACAGUACAGAUUCACGGGCCGCCCUUCCCUGGCUGACGCAGACGCUGGAAUCUGGGUC